rnacentral:tRNA from 1 species
AGAGGUGCAGGAGUGGUUGAACUGGCUUGCUUGGAAAGCAAGUAAACUGGAAACGGUUUCGGGGGUUCGAAUCCCUUCCUCUCCGCCA